UCACAAACAUUCAAUUUAUGCUUAAAUGUACAUGCGAUACAUUAUGCAUAUGAAUUUAGUUCACGAUAGUAUCGCAUAUGGAAGUAACUCGAAUAAAUUUGGACUAUUUCCUUCGGAUGUUUACAUGGCUGUGCUGUCAAAAGGCCUCCCAUGUGUUUACAUAUUUUGACAGGUCGAGUUGCUCUUGCAGGAACGACGAUAAGAUGAAUACAUUCACCAUGGAAAUAUUGUAGAUCUAAUUUGUAAACUGUCGUGGAACCUGUGUUCGGCUCGCACAUUUCCUAUUCAACAGGAAUGCAUAAUGGAGACCAACAGUACAGAAAGAUGAAGAUGUAAAUUGACCCAAAUAAACAAUGGGACAAUGAAUGCUAUAAUUACCAAGAAGAAGACUGCAUUCUUAUACAGGUAGGUGUCAGUGUUUUGAAAAUAAAUGUGACAUUUAGCAUUUAUUAAACUUACUAUGAUACCUGAUUUUAGAUUGAUGUAUUUCUCAAAA